GGUUAAGUGACUAAGCGUACACGGUGGAUGCCUUGGCAGUCAGAGGCGAUGAAGGACGUAGUAACUUGCGAUAAGCGUAGAUGAGGCAGUAACAGCCACUUGAGUCUACGAUUUCCGAAUGGGGAAACCCACUGGCAUAAGCCAGUAUCAUUGAGUGAAUACAUAGCUCAAUGAAGCGAACCGGGAGAACUGAAACAUCUAAGUACCCCGAGGAAAAGAAAUCAACCGAGAUUCCGAAAGUAGCGGCGAGCGAAAUUGGAUUAGCCCUUAAGCUUUACAUGUGUUAGACGAACGGUCUGGAAAGUCCGACGAUACAGGGUGAUAGUCCCGUAGUUGACGAUGCAUGUUCAGUGAAAUCGAGUAGGGCGGGACACGUGUUAUCCUGUCUGAAUAUGGGGGGACCAUCCUCCAAGGCUAAAUACUCCUGACUGACCGAUAGUGAACCAGUACCGUGAGGGAAAGGCGAAAAGAACCCCUGUGAGGGGAGUGAAAUAGAACCUGAAACCGUGUACGUACAAGCAGUAGGAGCACCUUCGUGGUGUGACUGCGUACCUUUUGUAUAAUGGGUCAGCGACUUAUAUUCAGUGGCAAGGUUAACCAUCUAGGGGAGCCGUAGGGAAACCGAGUCUUAACUGGGCGCCAUAGUCUCUGGAUAUAGACCCGAAACCGAGUGAUCUAGCCAUGGGCAGGUUGAAGGUUGAGUAACAUCAACUGGAGGACCGAACCGACUAAUGUUGAAAAAUUAGCGGAUGACUUGUGGCUAGGGGUGAAAGGCCAAUCAAACUCGGAGAUAGCUGGUUCUCCCCGAAAGCUAUUUAGGUAGCGCCUCGGACGAAUACUACUGGGGGUAGAGCACUGUUAAGGCUAGGGGGUCAUCCCGACUUACCAACCCUUUGCAAACUCCGAAUACCAGUAAGUACUAUCCGGGAGACACACGGCGGGUGCUAACGUCCGUCGUGGAGAGGGAAACAACCCAGACCGCCAGCUAAGGUCCCAAAUUACAGCUAAGUGGGAAACGAUGUGGGAAGGCUUAGACAGCUAGGAUGUUGGCUUAGAAGCAGCCAUCAUUUAAAGAAAGCGUAAUAGCUCACUAGUCGAGUCGGCCUGCGCGGAAGAUGUAACGGGGCUAAGUUGUAAACCGAAGCUGCGGCAAUGUUCUUUGAACAUUGGGUAGGGGAGCGUUCUGUAAGCCGUUGAAGGUGUGUUGUAAAGCAUGCUGGAGGUAUCAGAAGUGCGAAUGCUGACAUGAGUAACGACAAGGGGGGUGAAAAACCUCCCCGCCGGAAGACCAAGGGUUCCUGUCCAACGUUAAUCGGGGCAGGGUAAGUCGACCCCUAAGGCGAGGCCGAAAGGCGUAGUCGAUGGGAAACGGGUUAAUAUUCCCGUACUUCUUACAAUUGCGAUGGGGGGACGGAGAAGGCUAGGUGGGCCUGGCGACGGUUGUCCAGGUUCAAGUGCGUAGGCU
rnacentral:rRNA from 1 species